ACUGGGUGGAUACGGAUUUGCCUCGUUUUCAAUAAAUGAACUCGCGCAUUACUCUGACGUCACGCUUCCGGAUUGUAAAGUAGGAAGUUCACAGCGAAAGUUUUAAACUUUGUUUAUAAGUUGAUGAUCUUAUUCGUCUAACAUCAUAAAUGGUUAUGUUAUAGUAGCACAAACACACAGCAAUGUCAAGUUUAAAAAAUUUGUUCAAAAGUAAAAAGAAAAUUCGGGAUUCUGAGGCCAGUGAAAUUUCAGGGCCGAUUCCUGGGACAGUUAAACAUAAUGUUCAUGUUAAAUUUGAUGCUCAAUCAGGGAUGUUUGAUGGUUUGCCAGGGCCAUGGGAAAUGUGGCUUGAGCGUUCUAACAUCAGUAAAACUGAACAGACUGAGAACCCAGAUGCUGUAAUACACGCCCUGAAGUACUAUGAGAAGUCAAUUAAGAGGCCCCAAAAUGAGAAGACUGUCAAGUAUAUCAUGGGAAGUGUGGAGAGCUUGGAAGAACUGGAUAGAGAUGAUGAGACUGAGGACACUGCUGAAUCUGCCACACCAACGAUACACGAGACUGAGGAAAUCCCAGAGGAACCAACAACACCACCCAAAGAUGCAAAACCAGACCUUCCACCAAAAGUUAAGAAUAAAGAGGAAACCAAGGAGGAGGAAGAGGACCUGGAAUAUGAGAACAUACCAAAAGAUAUUGCAAAAGUGAAAAUAAGUGAAGACACCCCACCUACUAAACCUGAAUUAGCAAAACCCACUCCACCAUUGAAGCGCAAGAAGACUUUCAAGAAAAAGAUGACUGAGUCUCAAAUAAUGGAUGGCCUGAGAGGUGUAUGCAGUCCAGGGGCACCUAAAGAUAAAUAUAAAAUUAACAAGAAAGUUGGCUCAGGGGCAUCUGGCACAGUGUGCGAAGCUGUGGACACAUCCAAUGGCCACAUAGUAGCAAUCAAGAUGAUGGACCUGGAGAAUCAGCCCAAGAAGGAGCUCAUCAUUACUGAGAUUGAAGUCAUGAAAGGUUACCAACACCCCAAUAUUGUCAACUUCCUGGAUAGCUACCUUGUAGAUGGCGAACUGUGGGUUGUCAUGGAAUAUUUGGAGGGAGGCGCCCUCACUGAUGUAGUGACAGAAACAAUAAUGCAGGAGUCUCAAAUUGCGGCUGUCUGCCAUGAAUGUCUUGCUGCUCUCAAAUACCUUCAUGAGAGAGAUAUCAUCCACAGGGACAUCAAGAGUGACAAUGUGCUGCUGGGAAUGAAUGGAGAAGUCAAGCUGACUGACUUUGGCUUUUGUGCACAGAUAACUGCAGAGAGGGACAAGAGGAACACCAUGGUGGGCACUCCUUAUUGGAUGGCACCCGAGGUGGUGACCAGGAAGCACUAUGGUAACAAGGUUGACAUCUGGUCUCUAGGAAUCAUGGUGAUUGAAAUGAUUGAGGGAGAACCACCAUAUCUAAAUGAAACCCCACUUAGGGCGCUCUAUCUUAUUGCAAACAAUGGGAAACCUGAGAUAAAAAAUACAAGCAAGAUGUCCAAAGAACUUUUAGACUUUCUUAACAAAUCUUUAGAAGUAGAUGUAGAUAAAAGGGGUAGUGCGGCAGAACUUUUGGAACAUCCAUUCCUGAAAAAGAGAGCACAAUUGACCACUUUACGACCUCUUAUUGUUGCCGCUAAGGAAUCGACAGGAAAUUGAGAAUAUCAUGGGAACAAUGACUUACCUGUAAAACCGCAGUGUGCUCAACAUAGACAAUUACAUCUGAUGUAUGUAGCAUAGUGGACCAUAUUCUAUUGUAUAAAUACAUGGUAAACUUAGGGGCUAUGUCAACGAUGUUUCCUCAAUAUGUUAAUUCAAUUCACUCAUUUUUAAUUGUUUACCAGCACACUAUUGCUUAUCACUAUUUCCUUGAUCCAAUAAUCAUUCAUUACUAUCAUGAUAAUGGUGAAUAACUAUCAUGAUAAUCGCAUUGUUACUUCUCAUUGCAUUACUGUCAUGAUAGUAAAACAUGAUUAUCAUGCUUAUCAUUAAUGUCAUCAUUACCACAUAUAACUAUCAUGAUAAUCCUGCAUUACUAUCAUAAUAAUCAUCAAGACUUGAAAGUACAUAUAACAUCACCCUUUAUAAAGUUUGUAUAUUAUACUCUAAGUAAAAUAUCAU
rnacentral:misc_RNA from 1 species